rnacentral:rRNA from 1 species
UAGGGAAUCUUCGGCAAUGGGGGCAACCCUGACCGAGCAACGCCGCGUGAGUGAAGAAGGUUUUCGGAUCGUAAAGCUCUGUUGUAAGUCAAGAACGGGUGUGAGAGUGGAAAGUUCACACUGUGACGGUAGCUUACCAGAAAGGGACGGCUAACUACGUGCCAGCAGCCGCGGUAAUACGUAGGUCCCGAGCGUUGUCCGGAUUUAUUGGGCGUAAAGCGAGCGCAGGCGGUUUGAUAAGUCUGAAGUUAAAGGCUGUGGCUCAACCAUAGUUCGCUUUGGAAACUGUCAAACUUGAGUGCAGAAGGGGAGAGUGGAAUUCCAUGUGUAGCGGUGAAAUGCGUAGAUAUAUGGAGGAACACCGGUGGCGAAAGCGGCUCUCUGGUCUGUAACUGACGCUGAGGCUCGAAAGCGUGGGGAGCGAACAGGAUUAGAUACCCUGGUAGUCCACGCCGUAAACGAUGAGUGCUAGGUGUUGGAUCCUUUCCGGGAUUCAGUGCCGAAGCUAACGCAUUAAGCACUCCGCCUGGGGAGUACGACCGCAAGGUUGAAAC